UUUCAGAGCAUCAAGUUACCCUGCCAAUAGCCUCUUGGCGGAAGUGACUCAGCGGCUGAGAUCUAAAAGAUAGGCCAGAGUGACUCUGGCAAAGGGAGCAAGAAGAGAGGGUUCUGGGUAGAGGAAAUGCCACCUGCAAUGACCAAGGUGCAAAGAGCUUGCAUAUGUUGCUUCUUACUAUGUGUCAGACCUCAUGUGAGAUACUGGAGUGCAGAGCUGAAUAAGACACAGGCCAGCUCUCAGACAGCCUACAGUCUGAGUGGAGGAGACCACCAAGGACAUGAACCCACCUCAGGAGUGCUUCUUGGCACCUCUUCCACAAACCUCCCAUUGCUGAUCUCACUGCCCAGUUACUCCAUGUCUCAGAACACCCAGAAUCUCGAUGUCUGGCCUCACGGGCACUCUUCAUCUGGCCCAUUUUCAAACACCUGUUGAGAGACCUCCAGAAUUAAUACUUAUGUAACAGCUUUCAGGCCACACUUGGAAGAAUGAUGCCCUCCAGCCCCCUGUGAGACGCUCUGCACAUGGAUAUGCUUUAUGGAAUCCAUUGGAAACUUUCUGCCAAGUACUCUUCCAGAUGUCUGAGGGGAUGCACAGAGGAGUCUUUGUAGAGGGAGGUCCUUCUGUGGUGAUGCUUGCAGGCAGAUUUGGGUGUGGAUCCCAGUUCUAAGUAGUUUCAUGAUCCUAGAUGUGUUACCUAAAUAUGGCCUUGACCUGAAGCUAGGUUCUUAAACUCUUGUGCCAUGGAUUUCAUUGAUAGGCUGGAGAGGCCUUAUGGAUCUCUUCUGAGAAUGUUUUAAUGUUUAAUGUCUUAAAUGCAGAAAAUAAAACCACAAGAUUUCAAAGGAAAUCAAUUAUGCUCAAUAUAAUCAUUAAAAUGUGUGGUGCAGAAAUGUUCCCUUAUUAACACAUUCAAAUAAUGAUCUCUGGUGGUGAGCAAAAUACCUACCAUAAUUCAAAGUACUAUGAGUAUAAAACUAUAUUUCAAAAUUUCUACAACUGUAGUGUGAUUAGAAAAUAUCUUUGGUUUCUAUUGUGAUCAUCACAGAUACUGCUAAUCCUAUUAGAAUUUUUUGCUUAUGCUCAGGAACUGUUUAAUUUCAGCAAUUGCUUUCAUCCAACGAUCAAUGUAUAACCUUGUUUUAUGUGUGUUUCUGUUUAAAGACAGCUUAUUUAAUAUAUACUGUUAAUUUGCUAACAUUGCACUCACGGCCAACAGCACUGAGACUAUAACUAUAGGCCUGAGUGAAGUUUAUCUAACACACAUAUUUUCUCCAUAAGGCACACCACAGCCUUCUUACACUUAACACUAGACAGCACUUCAGCACCAUGCUCGGGCACCAUUUUAAACAGUAAAAUCACCAAGAAAAGGCACAAAUGUGUGAAAACAUGGCACUAAAAAAAAACCAUAAAAAGACCUUUGCUUCUAAGAGCUGAAACAAGAAGACAGAGAGUUGCCUUGUUUGACCUCAGCUGGGAAUGAGUUCAUCAGGUGAGUCAAAUUUUUCAUCUUUCUAUGGGUGUCUCUGAAUGACCAUGAAAGGACCAUAAGAAUUGAUUUUAGGAUCAUAAGUGAAUUUUAACAAGUAGAUGGACUCACAAAGACAGA